rnacentral:rRNA from 1 species
UUGGAGGGCAAGUCUGGUGCCAGUAGCUGCGGUAAUUCCAGCUCCAAUAGCGUAUAUUAAAGUUGUUGCAGUUAAAAAGCUUGUAGUUAAAUUUCGGGGUUAGUAGGUUGGUCAUGCCUCUGGUAUGUACUGGUCUCCUUCCUGAUGAACCGUAAUGCCAUUAAUUUGGUGUUAUGGGGAAUUUGGACUGUUACUUUGAAAAAAUUAGAGUGUUUAAAGCAGGCUAACGCUUGAAUACAUUAGCAUGGAAUAAUGAAAUAGGACGUUCGAUCCUAUUUUGUUGGUUUCUAGGAUUGACGUAAUGAUUAAUAGGGAUAGUUGGGGGCAUUAGUAUUCAAUUGUCAGAGGUGAAAUUCUUGGAUUUAUUGAAGACUAACUACUGCGAAAGCAUUUGCCAAGGAUGUUUUCAUUAAUCAAGAACGAAAGUUAGGAGAUCGAAGACGAUCAGAUACCGUCGUAGUCUUAACCAUAAACUAUGCUGACUAGGGAUCGGAUGAUGUUAAUUUUUUAAUGACUCAUUCGGCGCCUUACGGGAAAC